GGUGGUAGCUCAGUGGUACAGUGCUUGCCUAGCAUGUGUGAGGCACUGGGUUCAAUUCUCAGCACCA
rnacentral:tRNA from 1 species